GAAGGGCGGGCAGGGCGGGCGGGCAGAAGCGCUCACGGAGCCUGCGAUCGCCAGGCCAAUAGUGCAGCCAGGAAGAAGCAGGUCUUUAUGAAGGGAAGGGCUGGCACGGCCUGAAACGGAGGACAAGCCAGGCCGUCCAUCUGCAGCCUCGGGGAGGCGGGGCCGGGACGCUGGCGGGCUGGACACAGAGCCACAGGCGCGCCUAGAACAGCGAGGCCCCCUUCACAGUCCGCAGACAGCUUGUCUCAAACGGGGGAUCCACACCCACGGAGACACGCAUCCGACCCCCUUGCACCUCCCUCCCCCGGGGCAGAAAAAAUGUUUUUAAUUUUCCCACGAAGAGCCGUGGUCCGUGAGUAAUGCCGCGUGAGUCUCUGCAGCCCUCGACACCUGAGUUCACGUGCUCCUCCGCGAUCCCAUGAAGUGGGUGACCCUGGUCACCAUCCCCAUUCUGCAGCAGAGCACACGUUCUUCUCAAGCUCCCACGGGACGUUUGCCCAGAGAGACCACAUUGAAGACAGACCCUCAUACACCCUACGUUGAAAAGAAUGGAAACCAUGCAAUGUGUACUGUUGGACCGCAAUGGAAGUGAGCGAGAAAUCAUAAUGGAGACAGUUGAAAAAACCCCCAAAUUCUUAGCGCUCAAACAACAGUCUUCUCAAUAACACACAGGCAAAGAAGAAACGGCAAGAGAAAUUGUAUAAUAUUUUUGAACUCAGUGAACCCGAAAACACAACUUCUGUAGUUGUAGCAAAAGCAGUGCUUAGAGGGAGACUGCAGCACUCAACACACAGAUUAGAAAGCAGAAAGAUGGGGCGCCUGGGUGGCUCAGUCGGUUAAGCAUCUGUUUCUUGAUUUGGGCUCAGGUCAUGCUAUCAGGGUCGUGAGACUGAGUCCAGCACUGGGUGCGGAGUUUGCUUGGGAUUCUCUGUUUCCUUCUCCCUUUGCGCCACCCCCACUCAUGAACGUGAGCACGUGUGCUCUCUCGCUCUCAAAUAAAUAAAUCUUAAAGAUUUUUUUUAGAGACUGU
rnacentral:lncRNA from 1 species